ACUCCCUGCCGAGCAGGGAACCCGAUGCGGGACUCAAUCCCGGGACUCCAGGAUCAUGACCUGAGCCGAAGGCAGUCGCCCAACCAACUGAGCCACCCAGGCGCCCAAUAAACUUCUUUUGAGGAAAGGGUGGGAUCCUUUGGUUAAGUUUCCUGAACAAAGAAAAAGUAAUUACUAGUAAGGCAAGAAAUGUGGGAGUGGUCUUGUGGGUUCUUGCAACUAGACAGGCCCAUAAAAGCUGGAGAAGGAAUUAGAAACCAACAGAAAAACUGCAUCCACCUAUUCGAUCAACGUUUACUGAAUUCUUAUUUUGGACAAGGCCCCGUGCUAGUAGGUGGAAAUAUGAAGAGACCUAAUGGCAGAAGAGAAAACUAGAAAGACAACCAAAAUGACCGAGAUUUUGGGAAUUCUAUUGCAUGAGGAUUGACCCAAAUUAACUGAAAUCCCGCAUUUUAUGUGGCAAGGGUUAAGUGAAAUGUCAAUAU